rnacentral:rRNA from 1 species
CAGUAGCCGCGGUAAUACAGAGGGUGCGAGCGUUAAUCGGAUUUACUGGGCGUAAAGCGUGCGUAGGCGGCUUCUUAAGUCGGAUGUGAAAUCCCUGAGCUUAACUUAGGAAUUGCAUUCGAUACUGGGAAGCUAGAGUAUGGGAGAGGAUGGUAGAAUUCCAGGUGUAGCGGUGAAAUGCGUAGAGAUCUGGAGGAAUACCGAUGGCGAAGGCAGCCAUCUGGCCUAAUACUGACGCUGAGGUACGAAAGCAUGGGGAGCAAACAGGAUUAGAUACCCCUGUAGUCCAUGUCUCUUAUAC